UUUAGAAGAAAAUGAGAAAGAAUUUUUGAAUUUAAAAUUUAGAUAAUUUUUUUUUUAAAUUUUUGUGUGCUGAGUCCUUUGUAAGGAAGAGUAACAAUGCAGUGAAAUUGAAAUUUGAGAAGUGUUUGGCAGUAAAAAAAAUUCUUGAAUAAAAAUUACGUGACAUGAUUUAAAAUCAUAAUUCUGAGGAUGCCUUGAAAUCAAACAAUUCGGCGGUAAAAAAAUUUAUAAAAAUUACCCGUAAAUUUGUGUUUGAAAAAAAAGAAAAUAAAAAAUUUAAUUUGGACUAAAAAAUGUGUCAGUUAAAAUAAUUGAAAAGUUUAAUAUAAAAUUUAGCGCUUGCGUGUUAAAGUAAAGCCGAGAGAUUUUUCUUUGAGUUUAAAAUCCCAGUUGAGACUUCGAUCCGAGGCCGAGAGAGGUCUGCGUGGGAGACCUGUCGCUCCUUUCUCUCUUCCUCACGCUCGAAAAUCUUUCUCAUUUUCUUGUGUACCUCUUGCUCGCUCGCUCGCACUUGCACUCGUACUUACUUACUUACUCACUUACUUACUUACUUACUUACUUAUUCGUUCGCUCAUACAACUCUUUUUUACCCUUUCUCUUUAUAUUAUUCUUAUUAUCAAUCUGGUGCAAGAGGAGAACCAGAAGAUGCCGACUUCUUCCGCUUCCGAGAAUGUUGCCGUUUGAGUCGUUGACUACAUUUUUGGAUUACGCAUCGAUAACCAGUGCUAUUGACAUACGAUUCUGAUCAGAGUUUAAGCCCGAAGAGAAAAGUCGACUUAGAGGCAGAAAAAGAGGACGAGGAUGAGGAUGAGAAUGAAGAAGAGAAAGAGAAAUAGAACUAGGAAGAGGUAAAGGCAGAGUUAGAGGUUGAGGUUGGAGAAGAUGAAACUGAAGAAAAGAGAGCUCUGGAGUACAGCACGAAGUAAAGCCAGUGGUACAACGAUCCCGGGGUCAUGCUCCGGUCACUGACAUCCGCCUUGGCCACCACUCUCUUCUCUAAGACAUACAACCGAGCUAACUUUGCCCUGCGACAGCAGGCUAAGUCUCCCGAGGCCUGACCACUCUCUGCCCUUUCGUCGUACUCGUUCUGGUAUUAUGCCCGUUCAUGAGUUGCUGUAAUCAGGAAACUAUGCUCUAUAAAUAUGAUGGCAGCAGCAACUAGGCAGCCAGCACAUGUUCUAUAUUCAGUUCUUCCAAGUGGGAGCAAGAAGUCCGUGCGCAUGCGCAUUCAUCCUGUAGGCCAUAUUGAUAUCGUACCAGACAUCCAGUGCGCAUUAGGUUGUAAAAUUAUCUAACA